UACAGAGGGGGCAAGCGUUGUUCGGAAUUACUGGGCGUAAAGGGCGCGUAGGCGCCUGUUAAGUCGGACGUGAAAUCCCCUCGGCUCAACCGGGGAACUGCGUCCGAUACUGGCGGGCUUGAAUUCGGGAGAGGGAUGUGGAAUUCCAGGUGUAGCGGUGAAAUGCGUGAGAUAUCUGGGAGGAACGACCGGUGGCGAAGGCGGCAUC
rnacentral:rRNA from 1 species